rnacentral:rRNA from 1 species
UACGGGGGUGGCGAGCGUUACUCGGAUUUAUUGGGUGUAAAGGGCAGGUAGGUGUCUCAUCAAGUUAGAGGUGAAAUCCUGUGGCUCAACCACAGAACUGCUUUUAAAACUGAUGGGAUUGAGGCCAAAAGAGGAGAGCGGAAUUCCCGGUGUAAGAGUGAAAUCUGUAGAUAUCGGGAGGAACACCAGUGGCGAAAGCGGCUCUCUGGUUUGGCCCUGACGCUGAACUGCGAAAGCUAGGGGAG